CACGGCGCGGCCGGCGCCCCUCACCUGGAUGCGGGACUCGGGGAUCUGCGUGGCGUCGGCCAGUUUCUCCCGCAGAUGCACGUUAAAUGCACCUGGAAAGCUGCAGCAGAGGCAGACAUCGGUGUCAUCACCUUUUCCACCACUUGCUAAUGCCUUUACACAUCACACUGGCACAUCCCGUGUGCCUCUGCCAAAACUGAUUCCCAGACAAGAGGUCUUGUGCUGAAAAACUGCUUGCACACCCCAACAACACCAAGGCACUUAAAACGGAGAGAAACUUGUGAUGCUUUUGUCUGUGCUGGGAAUGCCUCAGCAGUGAGGCAUCUGUGCCAAGAGGACUCACAACACAAAAUGUGCCUGUACCUGCAAUGAAACAGCUCUAAGCUUCAGCUGGAGAACACAGCUCUCACAUCACUGCUGCCAGCUCUGAGCAUCCAGCAAGGGCAAGACAGGCUGUGAAACACCAAGGCUGUGGAGCAGCAGGGGGAGAUGGGC